AUUGAACGCUGGCGGCAUGCUUUACACAUGCAAGUCGAACGGCAGCACGGGGGCAACCCUGGUGGCGAGUGGCGAACGGGUGAGUAAUAUAUCGGAACGUACCCGGAAAUGGGGGAUAACGUAGCGAAAGUUACGCUAAUACCGCAUAUGCCCUAAGGGGGAAAGCGGGGGAUUCGCAAGAACCUCGCGUUUUCGGAGCGGCCGAUAUCGGAUUAGCUAGUAGGUGAGGUAAAGGCUCACCUAGGCGACGAUCCGUAGCUGGUCUGAGAGGACGACCAGCCACACUGGAACUGAGACACGGUCCAGACUCCUACGGAGGCAGCAGUGGGGAAUUUUGGACAAUGGGCGCAAGCCUGAUCCAGCCAUGCCGCGUGAGUGAAGAAGGCC
rnacentral:rRNA from 1 species